rnacentral:rRNA from 1 species
AACGAACGCUGGCGGCAUGCCUAACACAUGCAAGUCGAAUGAGACCUUCGGGUCUAGUGGCGCACGGGUGCGUAACGCGUGGGAACCUGCCCUUAGGUUCGGAAUAACUCCCCGAAAGGGGUGCUAAUACCGGAUAAUGUCUUCGGACCAAAGAUUUAUCGCCUUUGGAUGGGCCCGCGUUGGAUUAGCUAGUUGGUAGGGUAAAAGCCUACCAAGGCGACGAUCCAUAGCUGGUCUGAGAGGAUGAUCAGCCACACUGGGACUGAGACACGGCCCAGACUCCUACGGGAGGCAGAAGUGGGGAAUAUUGGACAAUGGGCGAAAGCCUGAUCCAGCAAUGCCGCGUGAGUGAUGAAGGCCUUAGGGUUGUAAAGCUCUUUUACCCGGGAUGAUAAUGACAGUACCGGGAGAAUAAGCUCCGGCUAACUCCGUG